AAGAAAUAAAGUUGCUAGUCCCAUAACCUAGCCUUAUUUUUCAAACCAACCCAACAGAGACCAUUUACAGCCUCCGGGAUCUUCCCAAAAUUUAGCCCCAAAUCGCUCGACCUAGAGCUACCAUUGUCCGACACCGGCAACGGCCUUGCAGGCAGUCGCAACCAAAAAAUCCAUCGGUCUAGCCUUUAAGCGAUUAAGUAAGUUGGAGUUCCAAGCAAAAAAGGAGAAGGGGCUUUGCUUUAAAUGUGAUGAAAUAUAUUCCAUUAGACAUAGGUGCUGGAACAAGGAGUUGCACGUCAUGGUAAUCUUGGAGGAAGAAAUACAGAAGGAAAUAGAAUAGAUGGGGAAAGAUUUGUAGGAACCAGAGGAGAACGAAGUGGAAGAGGUAGUGGAACUUUCAAUCAAUUCAGUUGUAGGGUUGACAUCUCCUCAAACAAUGAAGGUUAAGGGACUAAUUGGGAAUCAGGAAGUAGUAGUGUUGAUAAAUAGUGGAGCCACUCAUAAUUUUAUUUCAAUCGAGCUGGUUCAAAAAUUGGGGUUACCUAGGGUGGACACAUCAGGGUAUGGAGUAAUCAUGGGUACAUGAUUUGCAGCGGAAGGAGCAGGUAUAGGUAAAGGGGUGACCCUCGCUCUGCAGAAAUUGGAAAUCACUGAAGAUUUCCUUCCCCUGGAGCUGAGAAGUUCAGAUGUGAUCCUCGAUAUGAAGUGGUUUUCAUCUCUUGGAAAAAUGUCGGUGGGAAAGUUGUUAACGAUGCGCUUCCAAGUAGGGGGGAACAAAUGUCAGGCUACAUGGGGAUCCUAGCCUUACCAAGUCGCUCGUGAGUUUAAAGUCAAUGAUGAAGGCGUUUUGGAAGGGUGGAGAAUAGGUUUUAUUAAAGCUGGGGAAUCUGUCUAUAGAGGUAAAUACUUCAUAGCCGGAGGUACCAAAGGAGCUGGAGCGGGUGUUGAGGGAGUUUGAUAGGAUUUUCCAAGAGUCAAAGGGGUCACCACUCCAUUGUGAAAGGGAUAAUUCCAUAGUACUAUAGGCAGGAACAGCUCCGAUAAGUAUUCGACCAUACCAUUACCCUUACAGUCGAAAGAAUGAGAUUGAAAAAUUAGUUUGAGAGAUGUUGGCAACAGUAUAAUUAGGCCGAGCACAAGUCCAUUUUCUAGUUCAGCUCUGUUCGUCAAAAAGAAAGAUGGGGGUAGCGCUUCUGCAUGGAUUACAGGGCAUUGAAUAAAGUAACAAUACCGGAUAAAUUUUCGAUUCUAGUCAUAGAGGAAUUACUAAAUGAAUUACAUGGGGUCAUGAUUUUUUCAAAGUUAGACUUGAAGGUGGGAUACCAUCAGAUUAGGGUACCUCCUCAUGAUAUUUCAAAAAUGGCCCUCAUAACUCAUGAAGGACAUUAUGAGUUCUUACUUAUGCAUUUCGGAUUGACCAAUGCACCGGUGACAUUCCAAGCAUUGAUGAAUGAAAUCUUUAAAGAGAGGUUACGAAAAUCUGUAUUAGUUAGUUUGUUUGUUUUUUUUUAUGAUAUCCUAGUAUAUAGUCGGGAUAUGGAGCAGCACCAAGGGCACUUGAGGUGGGUUUUUGGGGUUCUUAAAAAGAAUCAAUUGUACUUAAAUGGGAAGAAAUGUGUAUUUGGCCAACGAGAAGUGGAGUACUUAGGUCAUGUCAUGUCACAGCAAGGUGUGGCAGUGGAUGAGGCGAAGGGGAGGGUCGUUACGGGAGCUCUGCGGGUUCCUUGGGCUGACCAAUAUUAUAGGAGGUUUGUGAAGGACUAUGGUAAAAUUGCAUGGUCCCUAACUAAAAGAUUGAAGAAGAAGAAUUUCUACUCAGACGAAGUAGCAGAACAAGCAGGAAUUAAAGGAGAAAAUGAUGACCUUACUAGUUCUGGGGCUGCUCGAUUUUACAAAAACAUUUGCAGUUGAGUCGGACGCUUUAGGACAUAGAUUAGGAGCAGUAUUGAUGCAGGAGCACAGGUCAAUUGCCUUUUUCAGUCAAGCACUUAAUCAGAAAGGCAGAGCAAAGUCCGUUAAUGAGAGGGAGUUGAUGGCUAUAAUCUUUGCAGUACACAAGUGGCGCCAUUAUUUGCUGGUUCACCAAUUCAUAGUUCUGACAUAUUAGAAAAGUUUGAAAUUUCUAUUGGAAUAGAGGGUAGUAACUCCAAAAUAUAAAAAAUGGUUGAUGAAGCUUAUGGGAUAUCAGUUUGAAAUUCAGUACAAGCCAGCAUUGGAGAAUAAGGCAGCCGAUGCUCUUUCUCGAGUUAACCAUCUUCCAUCAUUGAUGACCUUGUCACUAAUUGUUGUUGUUCAAUUGGAAUAGCUUAACAGAGAAGUCGAAGCAGAUGAUAAGUUAAGGAAAAUUGUGGAUGAGUUGAGGGCAAAUCCUUCUAAGUGGCCGGAUUAUUUUGUGAAAGAAGGGCAGUUACUUUACAAAGAUAGGCUGGUUCUUCCCAAAGGGUCUACUUUAAUUCAGCUGGUUAUGCAACAAGGGCAUGAUGGUAGUUUGAGAGGGCAUUCUGGAUUUCUCAAAACAUAUAAGCGGAUUUCCAUGAAUAUAUACUGGGCAGGAAUGAAGAAAGAUAUUCAUCGCUAGUCAAGAAUUGCACUGUUUGUCAACAAAAUAAAUAUGAAGCUUUAUCCCUGGGAGGAUUGUUACAACUACUGGCCAUUCCUAAUCAAGUAUAGGAAGACAUAACUAUAGAUUUUAUGGAAAGCUUAUCAAGGUCACGAGGCUGGAAUACCAUAUUGGUAGUGGUGGAUAGGCUAAGCAAGUAUGCCCAUUUUGUACCUUCGAAGCACCCAUUUUUAGCAGCCUUGGUGGCUGGGUUUUUUGUGAAGGAAAUUGUUCGCCUCCAUGGAAUUCUGCGGUUUAUUAUCUCGGACUGGGAUAAAAUUUUUAUGAGUAGGUUUUGGAAGAAGUUUUUUAAACUACAAGGUACAAAACUCUGCCACAGCACCUUAUAUCAUCUACAAUCCUAUGGGUAGUCUAAGGUAGUGAACUGCACAUUGGAGACCUAUCUCCUCUGUUUUGCGGUUUCCAUGGGUAGAAUUAUGGUAUAAUACCUCCUACCACACAGCUUCCAGACUGACACCCUUCCAAUGCUUGUAUGGAAGGAAACCACCCUUAUUGUUAGGGUUCAAAAAGGGGUCUACUCCUUUUUCAGUUGUGGAACAACAAUUGUUGGAAAGAGAUCAGAUGAUAGAAGAGUUGAAACAUUAGUUGAUAAGGACUCAAGCUCACAUGAAACGGAUAGCUGAUGCAAAGAGAAGGGAUGUUCAAUUCAACAUAGGGGACGGGUAUAUUUGAAGAUACAUCCCUAUCGACACAAGUCAUUGUCGUCAAGGCCAAAUGAAAAGUUAUCCCCAAGAUUUCAUGGGCCAUACCUAAUUGAGAAAAAAAUUGGAUGGGUAUCUUACAAACUGUCACUGCCCUCAACCUGCCCUAUUCAUCCUGUCUUUCAUGUGUCUCAACUACAAAAAGUCAAAGGUCAAUCUCAGGUAGUGAUGAAUAUCCCGAGCCACUUGACUAAAGAAAUGGAGUUGUUGGUAGAACCGGAAGCAGUGUUGGGAAUUUGACCAAGGAGAGGAAAUAACAUCAGGAGUCUGAAAGUACUGGUUUAAUGGAAAGGGUUACCACCCUUAGAAGCCACAUGGGAACCAUUGGAAAUGUUAAGGAAUUAGUUCCCAUAUUUCCAUCUCGAGGACAACGUAAGUCUUGUGGGACAGAGUAAUGAUAAGCCGCCGAUUCAAAUUCAGUAUUCCCGACAAAAGAAGAAGUCAGGGGCAGAAAAAGGAGACAAAAAAAAAAAUGAAAGUUCCAUGCACAUGGGCAAAACAAAUUCACUUGGGUAAGCUGUUAUGGAGUCUGGUGUAUAUAAGUCGAAAGAAAUUGGGAGAAGGGCAGCAAGCAAGUGGAAAUCUCUAGUAGGAGAGUUUGGACCUCUCGAAAGUCCCUUUGUUUUCUCUUUCAUUUCCUUUAAGCAUUCUGCAUUCAUUGUCGGUUGUAUUCAUCCAGUUUAUUAUCAAGGAAACAUUCUUCUUCUUCUUCUUUAUUAUCAUCAUCAUCAUCAUCAUCAAUUUGAGUCCCUUUGUAUUGUGAUAUGGUGUUCAACUAGUAGGGAACUUAUCACCUUCUCGCUUUUACUUUUCUUCCCUACCCUCACUUUUCUAUUUUAUAGUUUCUCUGAAGGUGC
rnacentral:lncRNA from 1 species